CUGUCAUAUGUUAAAACAACCAGAUUUAGCUCUAGGAGCCGUAGUUUGAUUGUAUCACUGCAGUUUGUGGGCGGUGGAUAUUCUGGAUAGUGUAGAUUAUGUUUAUGCUCGGGCUGAGAUGCAGAGCUUAUUUUUACAGCAGUGUUUAGGCUGUUCCGGACUGUCAUGUGCCGUUUGGGUUGACGGUGGACCCAAAUUGCCGUUGUUACAUCAGAUUGUGCCGAGAGCACGUGAGUUGGUUGUUAGACCAGUUGGACCCUAUUUAUUUGGAUCUUAGCCUGUAAGAGCCUGAUUGAGCUCGACAGAGAUACGCUUCCAUACUCGGUUGCGUAGCGCUCACGAGUGCCACUCCGAAGUCGGGCUUU
rnacentral:lncRNA from 1 species